rnacentral:lncRNA from 1 species
AUGAUUUAUACCAGCACAGGUCCACCGGUCUCACUGCACACUGCCUGCUCACACUUUCUUUCUGGCCCACACACUCCAGGCCACUUUGUUGGAAGGAUGCAGCACAGACCAUCCCUAUCCCCAUCCCCAUCCCCAUCCCCNNNNNNNNNNNNNNNNNNNNCGCGCACCCCGACCCUGACCUCACAAGGCUCCGCACCCUGGGGACGAUUCUGCUUCCAGGAGCCGCCCCGGUCCCGUGGGGCUCGGGGGGCUGCGGUGCCGGGGAUGGCGGCGUGCUGGGGGACCUGGACGGGGCGGCGCGUCCUGAGCGUGGCCACGGGCGCCGGGGCCGUCUACCUCCUCUACAGGACCGUGGCCGAGGCACUGAGCAGCGUGCCCGGCGGCACCGACCGCUACCGGCUGGAAAGCCCGGACCACCAGGACGGGCUGCCCGUGGAGGAGGUUCUGAGCAGGAGGGUCUGCGAGGAGCUGCUGGAAAUGCUGAGGGCGCAGCAGGACGGCCGGUCCCGCAGUGCCAUCCUGCGCAGCAUCACCCGCUGCGUCUACCUGAUGGACACGAAGGUGAAGGGCGCUGCGGGGACAGCACGAGGGCAGCCCCCUGUGCUCCGGGUUGCUGCGGUCCCCAUCCCCAUCCCCAUCCCCAUCCCCAUCCCACUGCAGCUGCAUCCCACCCUCUAACCCUGAGCAUAGGCCCGCUGCAGUUGAGGAGCUUUCAAGGGUGCGGAGGCCUACUUGCAUUGAUGUCACUCCCAAGAUCUUUUCUUAAAUUAACAAAUCAAAGAAAUGUUUUGGGUUUUUUUUUUAUAUUGUCCACAGCCCAUCCCUGGAAGGUGAAGGUAUAAGAAAAGUGCUGUUUGAGAAGUAAAUAGCCAUGUCACCAUAGUCUUUAACUGGAGGAUCAGACUCCUGUUCCUAAUGCAGAGAAACACACGCAUAGCUAUUGAACUCACUGUCAUCUUCCUUUAUUUCUAACUUUCUGGUCCAAUACAUGCACAAGUUUCCAGCCACCGCUCUCGCCUGACCUUCACUGUGUGACCGCUGCUCAGAGCUGGCUGUGCUGUGCCAUGCUGCCAGGUGCCUCCCAACCUCCCCAGCUGCACAAAAGCUGAUUUACUUGCCCUUUAAAAAAAAUCUGCUGCUAGACAUUUCUCCUUCUAAUUACCCAAACCUUUGUUUCCCUCCCGCUGCCUGAUAAGUGCUAUAUAUACCCACAGCUGCUGAGGUAUCUUCUUCCCGAUAGCAGGUGAAGAAGAUUCCUACCGCAGCACAUGCUCUAAAAAUCCUGAUCCGUUUUCUAAAGCCAUUUGAU